rnacentral:rRNA from 1 species
GACGAACGCUGGCGGCGUGCCUAAUACAUGCAAGUAGGACGCAGUUGCGAACGGGUGAGUAACGCGUAGGUAACUACCUAUUAGAGGGGGAUAAAUAUUGGAAACGAUAGCUACUACCGCAUACUAGUAGAUGGACCUGCGUUGUAUUAGCUAGUAGGUAGGGUAAUGGCCUACCUAGGGAACGAUACAUAACCGACCGUAGGGGGUGAGCGGCCACACUGGGAACGGGGAACGGCCCAGAAUCCUUAGGGAGGCAGCAGGAGGGAAUCUUCGGCAAGGGGGGGAACCCUGACCGAGCAACGCCGCGUGAGUGAAAAAGGUUUUCGGAUCGUAAAGCUCUGUUGUUAAGGAAGCGGUACUUAACCAGAAAGGGACGGCUAACUACGUGCCAGCCGCCGCGGUAAUAC